GACGAACGCUGGCGGCGUGCCUAAUACAUGCAAGUCGAACGCAGUGGGGACGGGUGAGUAACACGUGGGUAACCUCCCCUCAGAGGGGAUAACACUUGGACACAGGUGCUAAACAGAUACUGCUGGAUGAACCCGCGGUUCAGUAGCUAGUUGGUGAGGUAACGGCUCACCAAGGACACGAUGCCUAGCUGACCUGAGAGGGUGAUAGGGCACACUGGGACUUAGACACGGCCCAGACUCCUACGGGAGGAAGCAGUAGGGAAUCUUCGGCAAUGGACGAAAGUCUGACCGAGCAACGCCGCGGGAGUGAAGAAGGUUUUCGGAUCGUAAAGCUCUGUUGUUAGAGAAGCGGUAUCUAACCAGAAAGCCACGGCUAACUACGUGCCAGCAGCCGCGGUAAUUC
rnacentral:rRNA from 1 species